rnacentral:rRNA from 1 species
AGUGAACGCUGGCGGUAGGCCUAACACAUGCAAGUCGAACGGCAGCACAGUAAGAGCUUGCUCUUACUGGUGGCGAGUGGCGGACGGGUGAGGAAUACAUCGCAAUCUACUUUUUCGUGGGUGAUAACGUAGGGAAACUUACGCUAAUACCGCAUACGACCUACGGGUGAAAGCAGGGGAUCUUCGGACCUUGCGCGAUUGAAUUAGCCGAUGUCGGAUUAGCUAGUUGGCGGGGUAAAGGCCCACCAAGGCGACGAUCCGUAGCUGGUCUGAGAGGAUGAUCAGCCACACUGGAACUGAGACACGGUCCAGACUCCUACGGGAGGCAGCAGUGGGGAAUAUUGGACAAUGGGCGAAAGCCUGAUCCAGCCAUACCGCGUGGGUGAAGAAGGCCUUCGGGUUGUAAAGCCCUUUUGUUAGGAAAGAAAAGCAGCAGGUUAAUACCCGGCUGUUCUGACGGUACCCAAAGAGUAAGCACCGGCUAACUUCGUG